UAGGGAAUCUUCCGCAAUGGGCGAAAGCUUGACGGAGCAACGCCGCGUGAGUGAUGAAGGUCUUCGGAUCGUAAAACUCUGUUAUUAGGGAAGAACAAAUGUGUAAGUAACUAUGCACGUCUUGACGGUACCUAAUCAGAAAGCCCCGGCUAACUACGUGCCAGCAGCCGCGGUAAUACGUAGGUGGCAAGCGUUAUCCGGAAUUAUUGGGCGUAAAGCGCGCGUAGGCGGUUUUUUAAGUCUGAUGUGAAAGCCCACGGCUCAACCGUGGGGGGUCAUUGGAAACUGGAAAACUUGAGUGCAGAAGAGGAAAGUGGAAUUCCAUGUGUAGCGGUGAAAUGCGCAGAGAUAUGGAGGAACACCAGUGGCGAAGGCGACUUUCUGGUCUGUAACUGACGCUGAUGUGCGAAAGCGUGGGGAUCAAACAGG
rnacentral:rRNA from 1 species